AUUGAACGCUGGCGGCAUGCCUUACACAUGCAAGUCGAACGGCAGCACGGGUGCUUGCCCCUGGUGGCGAGUGGCGCACGGGUGAGUAAUACAUCGGAACAUGUCCUGUAGUGGGGGAUAGCCCGGCGAAAGCCGGAUUAAUACCGCAUACGAUCUACGGAUGAAAGCGGGGGACCUUCGGGCCUCGCGCUAUAGGGUUGGCCGAUGGCUGAUUCGCUAGUUGGUGGGGUAAAGGCCUACCAAGGCGACGAUAAGUAGCUGGUCUGAGGGGACGACCAGCCACACUGAGACUGAGACACGGCCCAGACUCCUACGGGAGGCAGCAGUGGGGAAUUUUGGACAAGGGGCGAAAGCCUGAUCCAGCAAUGCCGCGUGUGUGAAGAAGGCCUUCGGGUUGUAAAGCACUUUUGUCCGGAAAGAAAUCCUUGGCCCUAAUACGGUCGGGGGAUGACGGUACCGGAAGAAUAAGCACCGGCUAACUACG
rnacentral:rRNA from 1 species